rnacentral:rRNA from 1 species
CAGUAGCCACGGGAAUACGAGGGGGGCAAGCGUUGCUCGGAAUUAUUGGGCGUAAAGGGCGCGUAGGCGGUUUGACAAGUUUGGUGUGGAAUCUAUGGGCUCAACCCAUAGCCUGCAUCGAAAACUGUCGGGCUUGAGUAUGGGAGAGGUGAGUGGAAUUUCCGGUGUAGCGGUGAAAUGCGUAGAUAUCGGAAGGAACACCUGUGGCGAAAGCGGCUCACUGGACCAUUACUGACGCUGAGGCGCGAAAGCUAGGGGAGCAAACAGGAUUAGAUACCCCAGUAGUCCCUGUCUCUUAUAU